rnacentral:rRNA from 1 species
UACGUAGGUGGCAAGCGUUGUCCGGAUUUACUGGGCGUAAAGGGCGCGUAGGCGGCGACUCUAGUCAGAUGUGAAAGUCCUGGGCUUAACCUGGGGACUGCAUUUGAUACUGGGUUGCUUGAAUUCGGGAGAGGAUAGCGGAAUUCCCAGUGUAGAGGUGAAAUUCGUAGAUAUUGGGAAGAACACCGGUGGCGAAGGCGGCUAUCUGGACCGACAUUGACGCUGAGGCGCGAAAGCGUGGGGAGCAAACAGG